rnacentral:rRNA from 1 species
ACGGAAGGCAGCAGUGGGGGAUAUUGGACAAUGGGCGAAAGCCUGAUCCAGCGACGCCGCGUGAGUGAAGAAGUCUUUCGGUAUGUAAAGCUCUUUUAGCAGGGAAGAUAAUGACGGUACCUGCAGAAUAAGCCCCGGCUAACUACGUGCCAGCAGCCGCGGUAAUACGUAGGGGGCAAGCGUUAUCCGGAUUUACUGGGUGUAAAGGGAGCGUAGACGGCAUAGCAAGUCUGAAGUGAAAGCCCGUGGCUUAACUGCGGGACUGCUUUGGAAACUGUCAUGCUAGAGUGUCGGAGAGGUGAGUGGAAUUCCCAGUGUAGCGGUGAAAUGCGUAGAUAUUGGGAAGAACACCGGAGGCGAAGGCGGCUCACUGGACGAUAACUGACGUUGAUGCUCGAAAGCGUGGGGAGCAAACAGGAUUAGAUACCCUGGUA